AAGCGUGCGCAGGCGGUUAGUGUAAGACAGAUGUGAAAUCCCGGGCUCCAACCUGGGAACUGCAUUAGUGACUGCAUAGCUGGAGUACGGCAGAGGGGGAUGGAAUUCCGCGUGUAGCAGUGAAAUGCGUAGAUAUGCGGAGGAACACCGAUGGCGAAGGCAAUCCCCUGGGCCUGUACUGACGCUCAUGCACGAAAGCGUGGGGAGCAAACAGGAUUAGAUACCCUGGU
rnacentral:rRNA from 1 species